CACUUCCCCACUAGGGACCUCCAACUUCCCCACAAGGGGACACUGAAACACUGUGAUGCAUGUGGAAUCUGGGAGACAUGGGGACACACAUUGGGAGACCUGGGGACACUGAGACACUAGGGUAGACAUGGGGACACUGAGACACUAUUAGGAAUGUGGAAACUGGGAGGCAUGGGGACACUAGAGGGAUCCUGGGAGACACAGACAUGGAGACACUGAGACACUAGGAGAGACAGGAGAGGCACUGAAACACUAUUAGGCAUGUGGAAACUGGGAGACAUGGGAACACACAUUGGGAGACUAGGGGACCUGGGGAAACUGAGACACUAGGAGAGACAUGGGGACACUGAGACACUAUUAGGCAUGUGGAAACUGGGAGACAUGGGGACACUAGAGGGAUCCUGGGAGACACAGACAUGGGGACACUGGGGGACAUGGGGACACGUGGCUUGCUC